AGCCUGAUGCAGCCAUGCCGCGUGUGUGAAGAAGGCCUUCGGGUUGUAAAGCACUUUCAGUCGUGAGGAAGGUAGUGUAGUUAAUAGCUGCAUUAUUUGACGUUAGCGACAGAAGAAGCACCGGCUAACUCCGUGCCAGCAGCCGCGGUAAUACGGAGGGUGCGAGCGUUAAUCGGAAUUACUGGGCGUAAAGCGCAUGCAGGUGGUUUGUUAAGUCAGAUGUGAAAGCCCGGGGCUCAACCUCGGAAUAGCAUUUGAAACUGGCAGACUAGAGUACUGUAGAGGGGGGUAGAAUUUCAGGUGUAGCGGUGAAAUGCGUAGAGAUCUGAAGGAAUACCGGUGGCGAAGGCGGCCCCCUGGACAGAUACUGACACUCAGAUGCGAAAGCGUGGGGAGCAAACAGGAUUAGAUACCCUGGUAGUCCACGCCGUAAACGAUGUCUACUUGGAGGUUGUGGCCUUGAGCCGUGGCUUUCGGAGCUAACGCGUUAAGUAGACCGCCUGG
rnacentral:rRNA from 5 species